rnacentral:rRNA from 1 species
ACUCCUACGGGAGGCAGCAGUGGGGAAUAUUGGACAAUGGGCGCAAGCCUGAUCCAGCCAUGCCGCGUGAGUGAUGAAGGCCCUAGGGUUGUAAAGCUCUUUCACCGGUGAAGAUAAUGACGGUAACCGGAGAAGAAGCCCCGACUAACUUCGUGCCAGCAGCCGCGGUAAUACGAAGGGGGCUAGCGUUGUUCGGAUUUACUGGGCGUAAAGCGCACGUAGGCGGACUAUUAAGUCAGGGGUGAAAUCCCGGGGCUCAACCCCGGAACUGCCUUUGAUACUGGUAGUCUUGAGUUCGAGAGAGGUGAGUGGAAUUCCGAGUGUAGAGGUGAAAUUCGUAGAUAUUCGGAGGAACACCAGUGGCGAAGGCGGCUCACUGGCUCGAUACUGACGCUGAGGUGCGAAAGCGUGGGGAGCAAACAGUAUUAGAAACCCCUGUAGUCCCA